GACGAACGCUGGCGGCGUGCUUAACACAUGCAAGUCGAACGGAAAGGCCCUGCUUUUGUGGGGUGCUCGAGUGGCGAACGGGUGAGUAACACGUGAGUAACCUGCCCUUGACUUUGGGAUAACUUCAGGAAACUGGGGCUAAUACCGGAUAGGAGCUCCUGCUGCAUGGUGGGGGUUGGAAAGUUUCGGCGGUUGGGGAUGGACUCGCGGCUUAUCAGCUUGUUGGUGGGGUAGUGGCUUACCAAGGCUUUGACGGGUAGCCGGCCUGAGAGGGUGACCGGCCACAAUGGGACUGCGAGACGGCCCAGACGCCUACGGGAGGCAGCAGUGGGGAAUAUUGCACAAUGGGCGGAAGCCUGAUGCAGCAACGCCGCGGGCGGGAUGACGGCCUUCGGGUUGUAAACCGCUUUCGCCUGUGACGAAGCGUGAGUGACGGUAAUGGGUAAAGAAGCACCGGCUAACUACGUG
rnacentral:rRNA from 1 species